UACGAAGGGGGCUAGCGUUGCUCGGAAUCACUGGGCUUAAAGCGCACGUAGGCGGCUUUCUAAGUCAGGGGUGAAAUCCCGGAGCUCAACUCCGGAACUGCCUUUGAUACUGGGAGGCUCGAGUCCGGGAGAGGUGAGUGGAACUGCGAGUGUAGAGGUGAAAUUCGUAGAUAUUCGCAAGAACACCAGUGGCGAAGGCGGCUCACUGGCCCGGUACUGACGCUGAGGUGCGAAAGCGUGGGGAGCAAACAGG
rnacentral:rRNA from 1 species